rnacentral:rRNA from 1 species
GAUCAUGGCUCAGGAUGAACGCUAGCUACAGGCUUAACACAUGCAAGUCGAGGGGCAGCAUUUUAGUUUGCUUGCAAACUAAAGAUGGCGACCGGCGCACGGGUGAGUAACACGUAUCCAACCUGCCGAUAACUCGGGGAUAACCCUUCGAAAGAAGGCCUAAUACCCGAUGGCAUAUCCCUUCCGCCUGGUGGGGAUAUUAAAGAACUUCGGUUAUCGAUGGGGAUGCGUUCCAUUAGCUUGUUGGCGGGUAACCGG